rnacentral:rRNA from 1 species
GACGAACGCUGGCGGCGUGCUUAACACAUGCAAGUCGAACGGAAAGGCCCUGCUUUUGUGGGGUGCUCGAGUGGCGAACGGGUGAGUAACACGUGAGUAACCUGCCCUUGACUUUGGGAUAACUUCAGGAAACUGGGGCUAAUACCGGAUAGGAGCUCCUGCUGCAUGGUGGGGGUUGGAAAGUUUCGGCGGUUGGGGAUGGACUCGCGGCUUAUCCGCUUGUUGGUGGGGUAGUGGCUUACCAAGGCUUUGACGGGUAGCCGGCCUGAGAGGGUGACCGGCGACAUUGGGACUGAGAUACGGCCCAGACUCCUACGGGAGGCAGCAGUGGGGAAUAUUGCACAAUGGGCGGAAGCCUGAUGCAGCAACGCCGCGUGCGGGAUGACGGCCUUCGGGUUGUAAACCGCUUUCGCCUGUGACGAAGCGUGAGUGACGGUAAUGGGUAAAGAAGCACCGGCUAACUACGUG